GCCCAGCCUGCCCUCCAGUCCCUCUGUCUGACAACUCAUCUCUCACACACCUGCCAGGAGGUGCCUGCUUUGGGUUAUCAGCCCCCAGUAAGCCGCUGCUUAUCACUGGACAUGCCAGCACCAGGGGCACCUGUGUGAACAAGAUAAAGCCCCUGACCUUCCCUGACUCAUGUGCAUGGGAAACCCCCACAGGCUCGCUUUCGGUCAGAAGAGACGGAAGCUCCACCACUGGAGACCCCAUAAGACAUAACCAGCUAAGCCUUUUGGAGGAUGAUGGAGGGAGGAGGAGGAUGACUAAGCCUGGGCCCCCUGGGUGUGAGGCCUCGCAGGAGAUGUGGACAAGGAUCUCCAGGAAGAAGGCCGAGUGACAAUUCCAGGCUGGGCCUUCGGGACUUACAUGGCUAUGAGGCGGGCCACGGUGGUCUUGAAACGGUCAAAGAUGAAGCCGGUGGGGAAGGUCAUGAAGUUGUUCAUGAAGGACGCCAGGGUGAAGAUGAGCGAGAACUUCUCAUCCUGGGCUUUGCAGUCUGGAGGAGAGACAGGAAGAGCUCAGGAGCCUGGGGUGGAGGGGCCAACCUCUCCUCCACCUGGACUUCCUGCCAGGUGAGCAUCCAGCCUGGCUCCCGUCUGGGGCAGCCCCUGCCACCUCAGACAGCUUGCCUCUGGAAAGUUCUCCCCUAGAAAGGAUGGCAGGGCCCUAGCCGGUUUGGCUCAGUGGACAGAGC